GUCGCUUUGGCGGAGUGGUUAACGCGCUGCCCUGCUAAGGCAGUUCUUUCGAGAGCGCAUGUUCGAAUCAUGCAGGCGACG
rnacentral:tRNA from 2 species